rnacentral:lncRNA from 1 species
UUUUCACAAAUAGCACCAUUAAUUUUAUAAUUAUAAUUUUGGCUCUAUUCUUGUCACAGAAGCAACAUGUCAACGCCACAUGGUAAGUUGAAUAAGGUGAACUAGUGAUUAUGUUUAUUCCGCGCUCAAAUAAUAUAUAAUAUAUUAGACACGGUGGACAUGGUAAAUAAAUUAUCAUAUUCAACUUAUUCCACUCCCUCUAUUUCUGCCUGCGUGACGCUUAAAUGGCGCUUAUGUGGCGUGAACAGAGUCAAAAUUAUAAUUAUAAAAUUAGUGAGACUAUUUGUGAAAAUAACUUUGUGUAAGAGGGCGAAAUACAAAAAAAAAAAAA